AAGACUGUACUUUCAGAGAUCAUUUCUAUAGUUUUUAACUAGAAAAUGUAUUUCGAACGUGUUGAAUCUCGGAAACCACGAUGAUGAGCUUCGAUGCUCUUUUUUGAGGGUGAGACGGGUGUGGAGUAAUGGUUUACCUCGUAUGCUUUACAUCGUUGAUGAACGUUACUUGUUGCGUCUUUGCAGCGAGAAGAAGAAGGGCAUGUUCAGAGUGGU
rnacentral:snoRNA from 1 species